rnacentral:misc_RNA from 1 species
AAGUCGUAACAAGGUUUCCGUAGGUGAACCUUCCUUGGUGGCUGGAACUGAAAGUUUGUGCCAUUACAUCGGGUGUAACCCAUUUCUUCACGAAAACAACCCCCAUAAACCUUGCCAAACCGAUCUUCUGUUAACACGGAGGAUCAAAAAACCCGAACAACUGUUAACAAUGGAUAUCUUGGUUCUC